CUCAAUUCCUCCCAAACAUCGCCGACCCUAUCCUCUCCUCAAAGCCUGGCGUCGUCCUCUCUUUCCCUGGCCGACCUGCCUGGCUGCCGCCCUUCUCUCCCUCCAGAGGAAGCCAUCAAGGCACCCUUCUCUCCCUCCCGAGGCGGUGGGCGGCCCGGAGGAGUUCGGCGCUCCCAUCUCCUUCCCAAGGAGGCUCAUGGCAUCGGCGCGCUCUUCUCCGGAGGAAGUGUGGCUAUAGGAGAAGCCGAUGGGAGGAGUUAGCCGCCCCAUCUCCUUCCCAAGAAGGCUAAUAGUACGGAGGAGGACAUCAACCAUUGGAUCCAUCUUCUCCUUCCCGAGCAGCUAAGAAAAGUGGGAGAGCGGCGUCCGUGACUGCUCCGGCUCCUCACCGCCACUGGACGGCGGCGGCCGUACCCGUCACUUCGACCUACUGGCUGUAAGCGGCAUGAAUGGUGGUGGAUGCCGGUCGCUGGCAGGGGCCAGGCCCGAUCUAGACCAAGAUGGUCCUCUGAACGUCCCCUGCUGCUGGACACCGGGCUGCCAUGCUCACCCAGUUUUCUGAGUUCUUCAAUGUCUUGAUUGCUAGCAUCUCAGCAACUGCUGCAGCCCCGAUGAUAUAACCACCUUCAGGAAGGUAUGAGCGCCUCCAGGUUGCUUACAUGGUUGGCGUUGGGACGACCAUCAAAAGUAUGUUAGGAUCCCUUGCUAUUGUGUGGGACUGAAAAGGUUCUGGUGGUUACUUUUCAGAAAAGUAGUGAAAAUUAUUCAUUUGUUUUAAUCUCCUCUAAGUGAUUGUGCAGCUAUUGCAUCUGCAGUUCUAAACUAUGAAUCUACUCAGAUGCCCAUUAUGCCUUAAUUAAGCAUCUAUUUUUAGGCUAAUCAAGCUCACAAUUGUAUGCACAUCGAUGGCCGUCUGAAGCAGAUCAAAUUGCAUCCAUUGUCAAUUAAGCUUUCGAGUGGACAUACUCUAGGGGAGCUUCCAAGCCUUCCGUUGAAGGAUCAUGAGUCGAGAAUCCAGAUACAGUUCCCAUAUAUAUUUUGCGUCGUGCACUAAAGUCGUGUCACGUAUCGCACGGACUGACAGUGUGCGACAAGCCAUGCUAUACAGGAAGAGAGAGAGAGAAUUGUUCAUAAUCUUUUCUUGGCCUUCUUGCAGCACUCGGGCAACUUUGCCGUACCACAAGAACGGCUGACAGUAUUCCCCUCAUCCGCUUCAUUAUCUAGAUUUGUUUAGAGCACUUCUGCAGUCCUGAGGCUUUUCAUAUGUUUGCUCACUGAUUUUAUUAAAUAUUUGUUUUGCAUGUAAGGACUGAAGUUUCAGGCAAACCAGAGAGCAGAGGAACAGUAUGCAAGGUCAAGAUGAGGUCAAUUCUAGGGUGAAGCUAGCUGAUGAAGCUGUGGGCAAGGAUUUGUUUUCUGUUGGCUCACAAUAGGUCGAAGACCAUAUUCAGAUGGUUAGCUAAGAAGAUCUACUGUUCAUGGUGAUUGCUACUCGGUUCAGAAGUUAUACACAGAAGCUCGAAAGCUAAAGUCCAUGAGCGUAAUCAGUUUGGAGAAGAUGGAAGAUAAUGCCGCCGAAAUCACUCUCCAAUGCCAAUUUUUAUUUAGUUUUCCUUCAUAUAUGUGACCAGAAGUGGCGUUGUGAUGAGGUCAAUAACUAAGCUAAAAAGAGAAGAAAAAUCCGGAGAUAGAUGACCAAGUGGAGAGUUGAAUGCAGACUAUAAUUUGUAUCUUUGUAAGAGAUUUACAUGUAUGUAAUAUAGUUGAUCUACAUGUGACCUUCACAUACAAGUAGUACCGCUAUGCUCUAAAAUGAAUUCCUACUAAAUAGCUAUGUAUAAUUA